rnacentral:lncRNA from 1 species
AUUUUUAUUGUUUAGUUAAAAAUUUUAUUUAUAAAAUAGCUAUUAAAACUAUUAAGUUUGAUUGAAUUUUUAGAUGAGAUAUUUGAAAAUUUUAAUUCUAUAAAUACUGAAAGUUAAAAAAUAUUAAUAAAAAAGAUUAGUUUUUAUAAUAUAUAAAAGGCUGUAAGAGCUUUCUUUUGUUAUAACUUUUUUUUAAUUUUAAAAUUUUUAUAAUUAUUGACUGAAAUAUCUGAAAUAUAUCAACUCUCAGCGAAGCGCAAACCUUAUACUAGUUAAAAUAAGUUGAUGAAAGAUAUAAAUCAAAUCGAUAAGGACUUGCUUGAUUUAUCUAUUUUAGACUCUUAAAUCUAAAUAAAAAUUCACGGACUUCGAUAGUUGUCUUAUGUUUUACAAGAAUCGAACUCCGAUUCUUAUUUCAUUCUGAAACGAAAAUAAUCCAAUCUAUUUCUAAUAUAGUUUGACUUUGAAUUCUGAAUUAACGCAUUUCAGAAUAAACUACUCACAACUCUCUCUCCCACGAACGUCUUUUUUCUCAUCUUUCUUCAUCAUUUUUUUCUUGCUUAAUCAUAACAUUCUGUCAAAAUCCUAAAUAGCCCAAUUGUUCAUUCCGAUUUUCAUUCCAAUAAUAAAUCAAAUAAUUAUGGAUCAUCCAUAUUCUACUUACUAUUUUAUUGCAAUUUAGUUUAAUUGUCUA